rnacentral:rRNA from 1 species
GUAGGUGGCAAGCGUUGUCCGGAAUUAUUGGGCGUAAAGCGCGCGCAGGCGGUUCUUUAAGUCUGAUGUGAAAGCCCACGGCUCAACCGUGGAGGGUCAUUGGAAACUGGAGAACUUGAGUACAGAAGAGGAAAGCGGAAUUCCACGUGUAGCGGUGAAAUGCGUAGAGAUGUGGAGGAACACCAGUGGCGAAGGCGGCUUUCUGGUCUGUAACUGACGCUGAGGCGCGAAAGCGUGGGGAGCAAACAGGGAUUAGAUACCCUGGUAGUCCACGCCGUAAACGGUGAGUGCUAAGUGUUAGGGGGUUUCCCGCCCCCUUAGUGCUGCAGCUAACGCAUUAAGCACUCCGCCUGGGGAGUACGGCCGCAAGGCUG